rnacentral:lncRNA from 1 species
AUGAAUUGUUUUCAGAGUUACAUCCUCUGUGGUGGAACAGUAUCAUCAUUUGUGGCCAGUUUCUUCCAUUUCAAUGCAAUAUGUAUUUUAAAAUCUGUACCUCAUAAGAAGACAAGAAAUUUUCUACAUCCUAACAUCCUUUUCAUCUGGCCACAUUUCCACUCUUCUAAUAUCCUGGGAAUUCUUGAAUAAUACAUAUUUAUUCUAUUUGGUAUCAUGACUGAUUUUCUUCAUUCUUAAUUCCAUUUUUUUAAAAAAAAACUCUGUCAUAUUCAUCAUAUUCAUAUCUCACAGGUGUUCUACAUUUUCAUUC